AGAGUUUGAUCCUGGCUCAGGAUGAACGCUGGCGGCGUGCCUAACACAUGCAAGUCGAACGGAUCCAUACUGAAACCUAGUGAUGUAUGGAUUAGUGGCGGACGGGUGAGUAACGCGUGGAUAACCUGCCGUAUACAGGGGGAUAACACUAAGAAAUAGGUGCUAAUACCGCAUAAGCGCACGGUUCCGCAUGGAACAGUGUGAAAACCACGGUGGUACAGGAUGGGCCCGCGUCUGAUUAGUUAGUUGGCAGGGUAACGGCCUACCAAGACGAUGAUCAGUAGCCGGCUUGAGAGAGUGGACGGCCACAUUGGGACUGAGACACGGCCCAGACUCCUGCGGGAGGCAGCAGUGGGGAAUAUUGCACAAUGGGGGGAACCCUGAUGCAGCAAUGCCGCGUGGGUGAAGAAGCACUCCGGUGCGUAAAGCCCUGUCAGCAGGGAAGAAAAUGACAGUACCUGACCAAGAAGCCCCGGCUAACUACGUGCCAGCAGCCGCGGUAAUACGUAGGGGGCAAGCGUUAUCCGGAUUUACUGGGUGUAAAGGGAGCGCAGGCGGUAUGGCAAGUCAGAUGUGAAAACCCAGGGCCCAACCCUGGGACUGCAUUUGAAACUGCCAUACUGGAGUGCCGGAGAGGUAAGUGGAAUUCCUAGUGUAGCGGUGAAAUGCGUAGAUAUUAGGAGGAACACCAGUGGCGAAGGCGGCUUACUGGACGGUAACUGACGCUGAGGCUCGAAAGCGUGGGGAGCAAACAGGAUUAGAUACCCUGGUAGUCCACGCUGUAAACGAUGAAAACUAGGUGUCGGGGUACAUAAGUACCUCCGGUGCCCGCCGCUAACGCAAUA
rnacentral:rRNA from 1 species